GAUACAUAUCCAUACAUACGUGCAUUCUGAUUUUCCUCAUAGUAGCAAUACUCGAAUGAUGGCAGCACCAAUCAAUGCAAUGUUCUAGAGUUCAGUGACAAUGCUCGAGCUCUUUGGCUCGAAGAUGCUCAAUAUCUCAAAUAUAGGGAUUCUAACAGGGAUGAUCCAGAGGGUGCUGCCUUUGACGACGAAACUCUAAACUACUUUUGCCGCAAAGCGCGCGUAAGAUUCAGGUUUGCGGAUUUUCCCGACUUCAUUUUCAGUUCCUCAGAUGGACCACCCAAAUGGCAACAGUUUCGUAGUUCUAUUCUCCCCAAUUAUUAUAUUUGUUCUUAACGUUCCGCAGUGUCGUUAGAUCAUUUGAACAUCGAUUUGAUGAUUCAAGCGGUAUCCUUCACGAAAGCAUUGCCACAUUGAUCCUUGUUUGCAAAAUUUACAGAACCGUAUGCGAUAUGUAUUGCAGGAACAACAUCACACGGCUCUGACAGAGCGACGAGCGACGACUUCCAAGGUGACGUCGUAAAAUGGACGGUUUAUUGAAACAAGGGUUUCUAUUAUUCAGAAUUCUAAAUCCGAAGAUACCCUUAUUAGAACAUCGCCCGAGCCGCCGGCCCUCGUAAUCUAGCUGCACGUGCGAAACCGAAAAAAUCGUCGACUACGGUCUGAGGGUAGAUCGAGUCUGGGUGAAAUUAGAAUCGACGUACUGUACAUAGGAAACUCAUACAAGAGUGGCUCAUCACGUCCUGAACGAGAUCCUCAAGCUGAUAUUAUGUUCUCUAAUAAUUAUCACAACAAUUGUCAUAUCUAUAGUUUAUGAGGUUUAUACUCGAUCCGUAGGUGGCAGUGUAAGUAUAACCAGAAGGUGGCGACGCAUUGUUCGCGUAGCGUUGUACCAUUUUCGCCGCGAAUAAGUAGGCGGGAGUCAACAUGAAUCCUUCGUAACAUUCAAUUUGUCACUUACUGCCAUCAAAUGAUUGAUGUAUAUUCCCAGUGGCUUUUGAGCCAUCGUAGUGAACUGGACACCAACAAAUUGGUACCACAAACUCAGCUUUGAGUCACUUUAAUUCGAUAUUAUUAUCAUGUGAUUGAGUAGAAGAGUAGAUUCUGCAAUAAAAAAUGAAUUUCCAUCCUCGACACUCCACUACUGUGGAUCUUGAUACGGCGAAUUUUUUUGCCCAAGAUUGAAUUUUCAUUCACAGAUAAUGUUAAUUGUACUGAAGUUGCUGAUAUAAUUUUAUUGUAUUCCUUAUUCGUCGAAGCUCUGAGAGGAAUUAUUUGAAUAAAUUUAUUCAGAUGAGUGUAGAUGACAGAUGAAUAAAAAAUGAUCCGAACCUUCAUCAUCGUCUGGGUUGAGACUAUUCUCGUUAUAAAUUUCUGUCAGACAUUACCGUGAAAAAUUUAGGAGGUAAAAAAUUCCACGAAGCCUUCCAAUUUGUUCGAACAAGCCGAAAAGCCAUAAUUUGCUCUUGAAGUUUAUUCUUCUGUUAUUUAUGUAAUUCUAGUCAUUCAAUAAUACACGCGGUAAACGAGAAAUCAGAUCAAGGAGAAAAUCUGAUAAAGCAUCUCUUAGAAAUUAGUGAAAAACGACCUUCAGAAUAUUUUUAAUAUCUGCAGAUUCUGCAGGUAGUUCACAUAUGCUUCAAGAAUUUCGACCAAUUAGUGUACUUCGCCCCCGAUGAAUCGAUCGUCUUCGCAUACUUCAAUAAUAUUAAUAACUACGUGGUGUUGUUUAACAGCUAAAGAAGAACUCUGGCUUUGCCUACUAUUUUAUUUUAUCGCACGGCAUGGAUAUGAUUAGGAUCGCACCACAAUAUAUCCGGAUGCUUAAAAUCGGAGAAAAUAGAAAGAAAUAUUUUACACUUAUAAAUUGGAUAUAACGACCUAAAAAAUUAUAUCCGGUUGUAUCGAUAUCAUUUUUUCUGUUGUAAUAUCUUCAGGUUACCAAUACCGCCCGUGUGUUCUUCAAGCGACACUGCAGAGGACUGGGGCGUAGGAAUUACGUUGUUGUGUGUAAAGAGACCGUUUUACCUUGUAUAAUCUGAGUCCUCUUUUGCCUCUGCAGAGCUUCCGGGUACAGGUGAAGCUAGAGGUCUCGGUUGGCGUUCUCGUUCUCCAAGAUCACUGGGGUUUUGAAUAUUGAAAAGUUGUUGGCUGUGAUUGAUUUUUUCACAAAAACUGAGGAGUGAAUACUAACGGUACCUCGUUUGGAUGAGACCGGAACCGGAACCGACCGCCAGAAGCAGAUCUGACCGCGAACGUAAAAACAGGGUCUACAAAAAUUGAAAUCAGAAGAAAAUCAGGCUCAUAAUGU